GCCAAGUGGAUCAGUGGAUUUAAAAAAAAAAAGUGGAUCAGUGGAUUGUGAAUCCACCACACGCGAGUUCAAUUCUCGUCGUUCGCU
rnacentral:tRNA from 1 species